AUCCCGCUGUUCAUCAGAAAUCACAUGUAAUGCACUGAGCACAUGAUUCAGGAUGUCAGUGUUGCAGUGCUUCUGUGGUUGUUUAUGGAUGUGCUGCCUGAUGCUGCUGGAAGUUCAUGUGUGUUGGGAUUUAAGGUCUUACAGCAGCACUGAGAGACGUGAUGGCGGAGCGCGUGCUAGUCAUCUACGGCGAUGGACGGGAACGUGCGCUAGCGUGGAGCUA